GACGAACGCUGGCGGCAUGCCUAACACAUGCAAGUCGAACGAGAUCUUCGGGUCUAGUGGCGCACGGGUGCGUAACGCGUGGGAAUCUGCCCUUUGGUUCGGAAUAACAGUUGGAAACGACUGCUAAUACCGGAUGAUGACGAAAGUCCAAAGAUUUAUCGCCAGAGGAUGAGCCCGCGUAGGAUUAGCUAGUUGGUGCGGUAAAGGCGCACCAGGGCGACGAUCCUUAGCUGGUCUGAGAGGAUGAUCAGCCACACUGGGACUGAGACACGGCCCAGAUUCCUACGGGAGGAAGCAGUGGGGAAUAUUGGACAAUGGGCGAAAGUCUGAUCCAGCAAUGCCGCGUGAGUGAUGAAGGCCUUAGGGUUGUAAAGCUCUUUUACCCGGGAUGAAAUGACAGUACCGGGAGAAUAAGCUCCGGCUAACUCCGUGCCAGCCGCCGCCGUAA
rnacentral:rRNA from 1 species